rnacentral:rRNA from 1 species
UACGUAGGGUCCGAGCGUUGUCCGGAAUUACUGGGCGUAAAGAGCUCGUAGGUGGUUUGUCGCGUUGUUCGUGAAAACUCACAACUCAAUUGUGGGCGUGCGGGCGAUACGGGCAGACUGGAGUACUGCAGGGGAGACUGGAAUUCCUGGUGUAGCGGUGGAAUGCGCAGAUAUCAGGAGGAACACCGGUGGCGAAGGCGGGGUCUCUGGGCAGUAACUGACGCUGAGGAGCGAAAAGCGUGGGGGAGCGAACAGG